GCAAUAGGAUAGCAGACAGUGUCAUGAAAAAGAGAACCAGGAGACUAUUCCAGCUCUGCAUUUACUAGCUGUGAGGCCUAGACAAGUAACUUAUGACUUCUCUAGGCUUCAGUUUCCUCACUUUAAAAUCAAGAUACAAAUAGUACAUACCUUAUAAACUUGCGAUUAAUACCUGCAAAGUGUUUCGAAUUGUGCCUGGCACUUAAUCAGCACAGGUUAUACAGUAUAUGCAUUACCCUGGAUCUCCAUUAGGUAAGGGAGACAUGCUUAAGAAUAACCUCCAACCUCCAUUAAAGGAUAUGUAAAACUUUACUUAAAAGCUUGCUAUGGAUACGACUCAUACCCAUCUACAUCAACAAUUCUCCCUCAUUAAAAGGCGUGAUUUCGUCCCUGUGACAAUUCUUGUCAGCUAAAUUGCCUUCACAAUUAUUUUCUGUUAGUGUUGAAAAUACCCUUCUAACGGUGUGCCUCCUGCUAGGUGAUAUAUGAUUCUUAAAAACUUUCCCUAUGCGUAUGAAACUAUAAUUUCUUAUCGGCUUACCUUAUAGUUGCAGAAAGCUUUGGCCUGCAAGGAAAAGCAGUGUUUUCUAACACCUGAGCUUUAGGUAUAUUGAUCCUAAACUCUUGCUAAAUGUUUUACUUCACUUGGAAGGCUUGCAGCACACUCUUCUGAAACACAUAGAUUCUUCUGGCAGUUCAAAUGACCCUCCUCUGAUUUAAGUGUGCAAUAAACAUUAGUUAUUGUUAUUACUA
ensembl:lncRNA novel transcript